GUUGUAUGGUUAAGUGACUAAGCGUACAUGGUGGAUGCCUUGGCAGUCAGAGGCGAUGAAGGACGUACUAACCUGCGAUAAGCCGUGAGCAGUCGGUAAGAGACAUUACGACUCACGGAUUUCCGAAUGGGGAAACCCACUUAGCAUAAGCUAGGUAUCGCUGCGUGAAUACAUAGCGUAGCGAGGCGAACCGGGAGAACUGAAACAUCUAAGUACCCCGAGGAAAAGAAAUCAACCGAGAUUCCCUCAGUAGCGGCGAGCGAACGGGGAUUAGCCCUUAAGCAUCUUGGAAGUUAGUGGAACGGUCCUGGAAAGGCCGGCGAUACAGGGUGAUAGCCCCGUACACGAAAACAACCUUGAUGUGAAAUCGAGUAGGGCGGGACACGUGACAUCCUGUCUGAAUAUGGGGGGACCAUCCUCCAAGGCUAAAUACUCCUGACUGACCGAUAGUGAACCAGUACCGUGAGGGAAAGGCGAAAAGAACCCCUGUGAGGGGAGUGAAAUAGAACCUGAAACCGUGUACGUACAAGCAGUGGGAGCCCUUCGGGGUGACUGCGUACCUUUUGUAUAAUGGGUCAGCGACUUACAUUUUGUAGCGAGGUUAACCGUAUAGGGGAGCCGUAGGGAAACCGAGUCUUAACUGGGCGUCUAGUUGCAAGGUGUAGACCCGAAACCGGGUGAUCUAGCCAUGGGCAGGUUGAAGGUUGAGUAACAUCAACUGGAGGACCGAACCCACUAACGUUGCAAAGUUAGGGGAUGACCUGUGGCUGGGGGUGAAAGGCCAAUCAAACUCGGAGAUAGCUGGUUCUCCCCGAAAGCUAUUUAGGUAGCGCCUCGGACGAAUACUACUGGGGGUAGAGCACUGUUUGGGCUAGGGGGUCAUCCCGACUUACCAACCCCAUGCAAACUCCGAAUACCAGUAAGUAAUAUCCGGGAGACACACGGCGGGUGCUAACGUCCGUCGUGAAGAGGGAAACAACCCAGACCGCCGGCUAAGGUCCCAAAGUUCUGGUUAAGUGGGAAACGAUGUGGGAAGGCUCAGACAGCUAGGAUGUUGGCUUAGAAGCAGCCAUCAUUUAAAGAAAGCGUAAUAGCUCACUAGUCGAGUCGGCCUGCGCGGAAGAUGUAACGGGGCUCAAACCAGGCACCGAAGCCGCGGAUUCACGCUAAGCGUGAGUGGUAGGGGAGCGUUCUGUAAGUCUGCGAAGGUGUGUCGAGAGGCAUGCUGGAGAUAUCAGAAGUGCGAAUGCUGACGUAAGUAACGAUAAAGGGGGUGAAAAGCCUCCUCGCCGGAAGACCAAGGGUUCCUGUCCAACGUUAAUCGGGGCAGGGUGAGUCGACCCCUAAGGCGAGGCCGAAAGGCGUAGUCGAUGGGAAGCAGGUUAAUAUUCCUGCACGACUUGUAAUUGCGAUGGGGGGACGGAGAAGGCUAGGUGGGCCAGGCGACGGUUGUCCUGGUGAAAGUGCGUAGGUGGUGUUUCUAGGCAAAUCCGGAGACACAACACUGAGACACGAGACGAACACACUACGGUGUGGAAGCCAUUGAUGCCCUGCUUCCAGGAAAAGCCUCUAAGCUUCAGAUUACAAGUCAUCGUACCCCAAACCGACACAGGUGGUCGGGUAGAGAAUACCAAGGCGCUUGAGAGAACUCGGGUGAAGGAACUAGGCAAAAUAGAACCGUAACUUCGGGAGAAGGUUCGCUCUUGACAGUGAAGUCCCUUGCGGAUGGAGCAGUUGGGAGUCGCAGUGACCAGAUGGCUGGGACUGUUUAUCAAAAACACAGCACUCUGCAAACACGAAAGUGGACGUAUAGGGUGUGACACCUGCCCGGUGCCGGAAGGUUAAUUGAUGGGGUUAGCGCAAGCGAAGCUCUUGAUCGAAGCCCCGGUAAACGGCGGCCGUAACUAUAACGGUCCUAAGGUAGCGAAAUUCCUUGUCGGGUAAGUUCCGACCUGCACGAAUGGUGUAACCAUGGCCAUGCUGUCUCCACCCGAGACUCAGUGAAAUCGAAUUCGCCGUGAAGAUGCGGUGUACCCGCGGCUAGACGGAAAGACCCCGUGAACCUUUACUACAGCUUGGCACUGAACAUUGAACCUACAUGUGUAGGAUAGGUGGGAGGCUUUGAAGGCGUGACGCCAGUUGCGCUGGAGCCGUCCUUGAAAUACCACCCUUGUAUGUUUGAUGUUCUAACGCAGGCCCGUGAAUCCGGGUCGCGGACAGUGCCUGGUGGGUAGUUUGACUGGGGCGGUCUCCUCCCAAAGAGUAACGGAGGAGCACGAAGGUUGGCUAAUCCUGGUCGGACAUCAGGAGGUUAGUGCAAUGGCAUAAGCCAGCUUAACUGCGAGACGGACAGGUCGAGCAGGUACGAAAGUAGGUCAUAGUGAUCCGGUGGUUCUGAAUGGAAGGGCCAUCGCUCAACGGAUAAAAGGUACUCCGGGGAUAACAGGCUGAUACCGCCCAAGAGUUCAUAUCGACGGCGGUGUUUGGCACCUCGAUGUCGGCUCAUCACAUCCUGGGGCUGAAGUCGGUCCCAAGGGUAUGGCUGUUCGCCAUUUAAAGUGGUACGCGAGCUGGGUUCAGAACGUCGUGAGACAGUUCGGUCCCUAUCUGCCGUGGGCGUUGGAUGAUUGAAGGGAGUUGCUCCUAGUACGAGAGGACCGGAGUGAACGAACCUCUGGUGUUCGGGUUGUCACGCCAGUGGCACUGCCCGGUAGCUAAGUUCGGAAUCGAUAACCGCUGAAAGCAUCUAAGCGGGAAGCGAGCCCUGAGAUGAGUCAUCCCUGACCCCUUGAGGGUCCUAAAGGGCCGUUGGAGACCACAACGUUGAUAGGUGGGGUGUGUAAGCGCGGUGACGUGUUGAGCUAACCCAUACUAAUUACCCGUGAGGCUUAACCAUACAACACCCAAGAAGUGUU
rnacentral:rRNA from 1 species